AUACGUAGGUGACAAGCGUUAUCCGGAUUUACUGGGCGUAAAGGGCGUGUAGGCGGUCUUGCAAGUCAGAAGUGAAAUUCCUGAGCUCAGCUCGGGCGCUGCUUCUGAAACUGCAGGACUUGAGUGCUGGAGGGGAUAGCGGAAUUCCUAGUGGAGCGGUAAAAUGCGCAGAUAUUAGGAAGAACACCGGUGGCGAAGGCGGCUAUCUGGACAGUAACUGACGCUGAGGCGCGAAAGCGUGGGGAGCAAACAGGAUUAGAUACCCUGGUAGUCCACGCCGCAAACGAUGAAUACUAGGUGUAGGGGGUAUCGACUCCCUCUGUGCCGCAGUUAACACAAUAAGUAUUCCGCCUGGGGAGUACGGCCGCAAGGUUGAAACUCAAAUGAAUUGACGGGG
rnacentral:rRNA from 1 species